CCUACGGGCGGCACCAGUGGGGAAUAUUGGACAAUGGGCGCAAGCCUGAUCCAGCCAUGCCGCGUGAGUGAAGAAGGCCUUAGGGUUGUAAAGCUCUUUCACCGGUGAAGAUAAUGACGGUAACCGGAGAAGAAGCCCCGGCUAACUUCGUGCCAGCAGCCGCGGUAAUACGAAGGGGGCUAGCGUUGUUCGGAAUUACUGGGCGUAAAGCGCGCGUAGGCGGAUAGAUAAGUCAGAGGUGAAAUCCCGGGGCUCAACCCCGGAAUUGCCUUUGAUACUGUUUAUCUUGAGUGCAGAAGAGGUAAGUGGAAUUCCGAGUGUAGAGGUGAAAUUCGUAGAUAUUCGGAGGAACACCAGUGGCGAAGGCGGCUUACUGGUCUGCAGCUGACGCUGAGGCGCGAAGGCGUGGGGAGCAAACAGGAUUAGAUACCCCCGUAGUC
rnacentral:rRNA from 1 species